rnacentral:rRNA from 1 species
GAUCAGGCUGUUGGUGAGGUAAUGGCCCACCAAACCUGUUACCGGUACGGGCUCUGAGAGGAGGAGCCCGGAGAUGGGCACUGAGACAAGGGCCCAGGCCCUAUGGGGCGCAGCAGGCGCGAAACCUCUGCAAUAGGCGAAAGCCUGACAGGGUUACUCUGAGUGAUUCCCGCUAAGGGGAUCUUUUGGCACCUCUAAAAAUGGUGCAGAAUAAGGGGUGGGCAAGUCUGGUGUCAGCCGCCGCGGUAAUACCAGCACCCCGAGUGGUCGGGACGAUUAUUGGGCCUAAAGCAUCCGUAGCCGGUCUUGCAAGUCCUCCGUUAAAUCCACCUGCUUAACAGAUGGGCUGCGGAGGAUACUACAAGGCUAGGAGGCGGAAGAGGCAAGCGGUACUCAGUGGGUAGGGGUAAAAUCCUCUGAUCCAUUGAAGACCACCAGUGGCGAAGGCGGCUUGCCAAUACGCGCUCGACGGUGAGGGAUGAAAGCUGGGGGAGCAAACCGGAUUAGAUACCCGGGUAGUCCCAGCUGUAAACGAUGCAGACUCGGUGAU